AAAAAAGGUAAGCUACUAAGAGCGAAUGGUGGAUGCCUUGACUGGUAAAGGCGAUGAAGGACGUACUAGACUGCGAUAAGCUACGGGGAGCUGUCAAGAAGCUUUGAUCCGUAGAUUUCCGAAUGGGGCAACCCAAUGUAUAGAGAUAUACAUUACCUAUAUAGGAGCGAACGAGGGGAAUUGAAACAUCUUAGUACCCUCAGGAAAAGAAAUCAAUAGAGAUUGCGUCAGUAGCGGCGAGCGAAAGCGCAAGAGGGCAAACCCAGUGCUUGCACUGGGGGUUGUAGGACUGCAAUGUGCAAGAGCUGAGUUUAGCAGAACAUUCUGGAAAGUAUAGCCAUAGAGGGUGAUAGUCCCGUAUGCGAAAAACAAAGCUUAGCUAGCAGUAUCCUGAGUAGGGCGGGACACGAGGAAUCCUGUCUGAAUCCGGGUCGACCACGAUCCAACCCUAAAUACUAAUACCAGAUCGAUAGUGCACAAGUACCGUGAGGGAAAGGUGAAAAGAACUGAGGUGAUCAGAGUGAAAUAGAACCUGAAACCAUUUGCUUACAAUCAUUCAGAGCACUAUGUAGCAAUACAGUGUGAUGGACUGCCUUUUGCAUAAUGAGCCUGCGAGUUGUGGUGUCUGGCAAGGUUAAGCAAACGCGAAGCCGUAGCGAAAGCGAGUCUGAAUAGGGCGCUUAGUCAGAUGCUGCAGACCCGAAACGAAGUGAUCUAUCCAUGAGCAAGUUGAAGCUAGUGUAAGAACUAGUGGAGGACUGAACCCAUAGGCGUUGAAAAGCCCCGGGAUGACUUGUGGAUAGGGGUGAAAGGCCAAUCAAACUUCGUGAUAGCUGGUUCUCUCCGAAAUAUAUUUAGGUAUAGCGUUGUGUCGUAAUAUAAGGGGGUAGAGCACUGAAUGGGCUAGGGCAUACACCAAUGUACCAAACCCUAUCAAACUCCGAAUACCUUAUAUGUAAUCACAGCAGUCAGGCGGCGAGUGAUAAAAUCCGUCGUCAAGAGGGAAACAACCCAGACUACCAGCUAAGGUCCCUAAAUCUUACUUAAGUGGAAAACGAUGUGAAGUUACUUAAACAACCAGGAGGUUGGCUUAGAAGCAGCCAUCCUUUAAAGAAAGCGUAAUAGCUCACUGGUCUAGUGAUUUUGCGCGGAAAAUAUAACGGGGCUAAAGUAAGUACCGAAGCUGUAGACUUGCGCACAACUUAGAUUAUUUAAGUUUAGAAUAUGAGAAACUAAGUUAUAUUUUUACUGAUUUUUAUAGAGUAAAGAUAGAAAUAAAACUUAGUAAAAUCAGUAAAAAUAUUCUUAGGCUAAAGUUAAGUAGUUUAAGUUGUGUGCAAGUGGUAGGAGAGCGUUCUAUUUGCGUCGAAGGUAUACCGGUAAGGAGUGCUGGAGCGAAUAGAAGUGAGCAUGCAGGCAUGAGUAGCGAUAAUUAAUGUGAGAAUCAUUAACGCCGUAAACCCAAGGUUUCCUACGCGAUGCUCGUCAUCGUAGGGUUAGUCGGGUCCUAAGUCGAGUCCGAAAGGGGUAGACGAUGGCAAAUUGGUUAAUAUUCCAAUACCAACAUUAGUGUGCGAUGGAAGGACGCUUAGGGCUAAGGGGGCUAGCGGAUGGAAGUGCUAGUCUAAGGUCGUAGGAGGUUAUACAGGCAAAUCCGUAUAACAAUACUCCGAGAACUGAAAGGCUUUUUGAAGUCUUCGGAUGGAUAGAAGAACCCCUGAUGCCGUCGAGCCAAGAAAAGUUUCUAAGUUUAGCUAAUGUUGCCCGUACCGUAAACCGACACAGGUGGGUGGGAUGAGUAUUCUAAGGCGCGUGGAAGAACUCUCUUUAAGGAACUCUGCAAAAUAGCACCGUAUCUUCGGUAUAAGGUGUGGUUA
rnacentral:rRNA from 1 species